ACGCUCGACACCUACGGGUGGCAGCAGUGGGGAAUAUUGCACAAUGGGGGAAACCCUGAUGCAGCGACGCCGCGUGGAGGAAGAAGGUCUUCGGAUUGUAAACUCCUGUUGUUGGGGAAAAAGAGGAUGGUACCCAACAAGGAAGUGACGGCUAACUACGUGCCAACAGCCGCGGUAAUCUGAGCGGGCUGGCAAGGC
rnacentral:rRNA from 1 species